rnacentral:ncRNA from 1 species
UGAGCUCGGUAUCGAUGGCAAUAUCAGCGAAAGCUGAUAGAUGGAGGUAGUCUGAUUUUAUUUAUCAGGACGGUUUAUACCGCGAACAGCUCUGAGAGCUGGGGAGCCUCGUAAAAACUCAACUUAUUGUCGCCUUGAUGCACAGAUACCCGCUA